rnacentral:lncRNA from 1 species
ACUUUAUUUAGAAACAAUAUAACAAUUUGUUUUCUCUCUUUCAGAUUCCACAUAUUAGAGAAAAACGUGAAUGUGAUACUUGUCUUUCUGAGCCUACUAGAAGAGACACUAUUUUUAGACAAGAGGAAGAUAUAUCAAGGUUUUACUACAGAGGCUUAAAAUGGCCACCUGCUGGGAGCCUCUGGAUCCUUCCUUUGUUCAGGGGUGGAAGAAUGCAAAAUGGCUGCCCCUGCUCUGGAGAGCAGAAGAAUCUAGUCCAGUGGUGGGAAACCUAUGGCAUCCCAAGUGGCAGUUUACAGAAAAAGAAACUGUGAACAAGGUGAGGAAUGGUGCACAGGUCAGAUGGAGCCCUAGGAUCAGCCCAAGUGUUAUCAGUCCCUCUUCAGCAGAUGAAAUCUCAAGCAGAGAAGGGCUGUGUGCUCUGCAGUCGAAGGUAUACCCCUUCCCCACUUCACCCCGGCUCAGAGAGAAGUCAUCAUUUUCCAGUAAUGUGGCC